rnacentral:rRNA from 1 species
UUGGAGGGCAAGUCUGGUGCCAGCAGCCGCGGUAAUUCCAGCUCCAAUAGCGUACAUUAAAGUUGUUGCAGUUAAAAAGCUCGUAGUUGAAUUUCGGGAUCAAAUUGUCGGUCGUGCCUCGGUACGCACUGGUAUUAUUGGUUCCUACCUUCUGAAGAACCGCGAUGUCAUUAAUUUGGUGUCGUGGGGAAUCAGGACUGUUACUUUGAAAAAAUUAGAGUGUUUAAAGCAGGCUUACGCUUGAAUACAUUAGCAUGGAAUAAUGAAAUAGGACGUUUGAUACUAUUUUGUUGGUUUCUAGGAUUGACGUAAUGAUUAAUAGGGAUAGUUGGGGGCAUUAGUAUUCAAUUGUCAGAGGUGAAAUUCUUGGAUUUAUUGAAGACUAACUACUGCGAAAGCAUUUGCCAAGGAUGUUUUCAUUAAUCAAGAACGAAAGUUAGGGGAUCGAAGACGAUCAGAUACCGUCGUAGUCUUAACCAUAAACUAUGCCGACUAGGGAUCGGAUGAUGUUAAUUUUUUAAUGACUCAUUCGGCGCCUUACGGGAAACCAAAGUGUUUGGGUUC